UUUUCCUACGGGGGGCAGCAGUGAGGAAUAUUGGUCAAUGGCCGGAAGGCUGAACCAGCCAAGUCGCGUGAGGGACGACUGCCCUAUGGGUUGUAAACCUCUUUUAUAAGGGAAGAAUAAAUGCUACGUGUAGCAUGAUGCCUGUACCUUAUGAAUAAGCAUCGGCUAACUCCGUGCCAGCAGCCGCGGUAAUACGGAGGAUCCGAGCGUUAUCCGGAUUUAUUGGGUUUAAAGGGUGCGUAGGCGGUUUGAUAAGUUAGAGGUGAAAUGUCGGGGCUCAACCCCGAAACUGCAUCUAAUACUGU
rnacentral:rRNA from 1 species